UGUAACACAUGGUUUUGGUAUGUUGCAUUUCUUUUUUCAAUCUAAUCUAUUUUAAGAAGUUGUCUUCUUAAUUUUUUUAUUCACCUCUAUUCUAGAAAAUGUUCCAUGUGGUGAUGAAAAGAAAUCUAUUAAAGGUUUUUGCAUUGUUGUUGCCAUGAGGCUUACAAAAACAUCUCAUAGAUAUGUUUUUCAAUUAGAUGAAAAUUUGUCUUAGAUCACAAUUAAGAAUAGAUAUAAAGGUAAAAAUACAAAUAUAUAUAUAUAUACUUAUAUAUAAAGUGUGUAUAUAUUUACUUAUAAAGUGUGUAUAUAUAUACUUAUAUAUAAAGUGUAUAUAUAUAUAUACACACUUUAUGUGACUCAUAUUUUGGGUUACUUGUCUCUAUUUACAUAUUUAUUGGUUAUCUAUCUCUUAACAGGUUGCUGUAACCUACUAUGGUUUUUGAUAUAUUUGUCUUCUAAACUUCAUACUAGAGUUAUGAGUGGAAUGCACACCACAAUUACAGCAAUAGAGUAUUCUGGGUUUGUCUCUAUACUUAAACUUACCAUUGUGUUUUAUACAUUGCAAAAUUUUCUUUUUGCAUAUUAGUUUUUUUUUUUUUUCAGUUCUUUCAGAUUGAAGAACUCCCUUUAGUAUUUCUUGCAAUGGGUCUGGCGAUGGUAAAUUUUCUCAGUUUUUGAUUGUCUUGGAAAAACUUUAUUUCUCCUUCAUAUCUG
rnacentral:lncRNA from 1 species